UCUAAGCGCGAAGCCGGCCGCAAGAUUGGAUUUCACAGGGCCGUCAGAGACGAUGACGUCGAUAGGGCGCAGGUGCACGGGCGGAGACGCCCUCAGCCGAGCGCUACUAAUUGCCCGCACGCUUUCCUGG
rnacentral:rRNA from 1 species